rnacentral:SRP_RNA from 1 species
CUCUGGUUCCCUCGCGACGAUAAACUGUGAACUCCGCCAGGUCCGGAAGGAAGCAACGGUAACAGUGAUCUCGGGUGCCGAGGUGUAGCUGGGGUGG